rnacentral:lncRNA from 1 species
UUAACCAAGAUCUGCUUGGUUUCAUCAGCAAUCCAGUUCCUCUCUACAAUCUAACCUGGGACCCAUUCAAAGGAAUCAACUGCAUUUCACAUUUUUUUUUUAAUGUGCCUUUUAUUUUUUUAUUUAUAUAUAUUUACUUUUUUCCUUAUGUUCUGAGAAACCUGCUUUAUAAAAAUCAGCUCAUUUUUUUACUUGUUUGUAGUUAAAUAAA